AUCGUGUCUGCCAAUCAUUGCACAUACAUUUUCUACAUGGACACUUAUGCCACUCAGUUCCUGGGGCAGCAUGAUAAUCAACAAAUCUCAAGAAAUCAAAGAUUCCCUGUAUAUACAAGUGGUGACACCUGUCGUAUAACAUCCAGCUUUUGUCCAUGUUUUGCAUCUGCUGUCAUAUAAGAGAAACAACAAAUAAGCACCAAGUAUAUAACAACAAACCAACAUUAAUAAUAUUCGUUUCUUCUUCACCUUAUGCCUCCGGUUAGGGUCCUAAUCCCAUUUAGGAGAAUAAGACUUUGUUAUGAAAUUUGCUGUUCUUUUGUUUAAAUUUCGAUGUGGUAAAAUUUCGACAGCAUCUCCCUACAGUUCCUCAAGUGCACGAAUAUCUAAGCCUAGUAUGCACUCGAGGAACAAUACAGGAGACUCUGUCGAAAUAUAUAUACCCACAAUCGAAACCAAAACAAAAGAACUGCAAACCACAUAACAAAGUCUUAUUCUCCCAAACUGUCCAAAAAUGGGACAAUUCAAGAACCAUUUUAGUCUGUUGCCAAACCAAAAUCAUUCUCGAACUGGAUUUCUAAGGUUAAACAUGAAUGAAAGAAUUUAACCAUUCUUACAUUCAUUGCGCUAAAAAAAACACAACAUCAUUCUUUGUGUAUAUAUAUAUGCAAAUAAUAUAUAUAUAUAACCUAUAUAUCCAAAAUAUAUAUAUAUAUAUAUAUAUAUAACCAAACAAAAUAUAUAUAGUUAUAUAUAUAUAUAUGCAAAGAAUAUAUAUAUAUAUAACCUAUAUAUCCAAUAUAUAUAUAUAACCAACCAAAAAAUAUAUAUAGUUAUAUAUAUAUAGAUUGUUUUAUACUGGAAAACAUAUAUGGUCUUCAUUUUACCGGAAUUUUUCACCGGAAAACAUGGACUUCCUUUUUUUAUUAGAUUUUUUUUUUUAAUAGGAGGAAACAUAUAAACAAGGAGGAGAUUUAGCUAUCAUAAACAACAACAUCAUCAUCAAAGAUAGGUAACCCAAAAUUAUGAUCAACAAACAACGAACAUCAAUAUCGAUCAUCCUCAAAACUAUAAAUGGUGAAAAGAAGAGAAUGAGAUUAUACCAAGUUAUAGUUAGCUAGCCA
rnacentral:lncRNA from 1 species